rnacentral:rRNA from 1 species
GGAUGCGAUCAUACCAGCACUAAAGCACCAGAUCCCAUCAGAACUCCGAAGUUAAGCGUGCUUGGGCGAGAGUAGUACUAGGAUGGGUGACCUCCUGGGAAGUCCUCGUGUUGCAUCCG